UACGAAGGGGGCUAGCGUUGUUCGGAAUUACUGGGCGUAAAGCGCGAGUAGGCGGCUUUGCAAGCCAGAGGUGAAAUGCCUGAGCUUAACUUGGGAAUUGCCUUUGGGACUGCGAGGCUUCGAGGACGGGAGAGGUGAGUGGAAUUCCCAGUGUAGAGGUGAAAUUCGUAGAUAUUGUGAAGAACACCGGUGGCGCAGGCGUCUCACUUGCCCGUUUAUGACUCUCAAGCGCGAAAGCGUGGGGAUCAAACAGG
rnacentral:rRNA from 1 species